GAUGAAUGCUGGCGGCGUGCCUAACACAUGCAAGUCGAGCGGCAGCGCGGAGAGUUUACUCUCUGGCGGCGAGCGGCGGACGGCUGAGUAACGCGUGGGAACGUGCCCCAAAGUGAGAAAUAACUGCCCGAAAGGGUGGCUAAUGCCGCAUAUGAUCUUCGGAUUAAAGGAUUUAUCCGCUUUGGGAGCGGCCCACGUCGGAUUAGGUUGUUGGUGAGGUAAUGGCUCACCAAGCCGACGAUCCGUAGCUGGUCUGAGAGGAUGAUCAGCCAGACUGGGACUGAGACACGGCCCAGACUCCUACGGGAGGCAGCAGUGAGGAAUCUUCCACAAUGGGCGAAAGCCUGAUGGAGCAACGCCGCGUGAAGGAUGAAGGCCCUCGGGUUGUAAACUUCUUUUAUAAGUGAAGAAUAUGACGGUAACUUAUGAAUAAGCACCGGCUAACUACGUGCCAGCCGCCGCAGUAA
rnacentral:rRNA from 1 species